UACGAAGGGGGCUAGCGUUGCUCGGAAUCACUGGGCGUAAAGCGCACGUAGGCGGCUUACUAAGUCAGGGGUGAAAUCCUGGAGCUCAACUCCAGAACUGCCUCUGAUACUGGUGAGCUUGAGUCCGGGAGAGGUGAGUGGAACUGCGAGUGUAGAGGUGAAAUUCGUAGAUAUUCGCAAGAACACCAGUGGCGAAGGCGGCUCACUGGCCCGGUACUGACGCUGAGGUGCGAAAGCGUGGGGAGCGAUCCGG
rnacentral:rRNA from 1 species